UACGUAGGGGGCGAGCGUUGUCCGGAUUUAUUGGGCGUAAAGAGCGUGUAGGCGGCCAGGUAGGUCUGCUGUGAAAACUCGAGGCUCAACCUCGAGACGUCGGCGGAAACCAUCUGGCUAGAGUCCGGAAGAGGAGAGUGGAAUUCCUGGUGUAGCGGUGAAAUGCGCAGAUAUCAGGAAGAACACCCGUGGCGAAGGCGGCUCUCUGGGAAACAACUGACGCUGAGGAACGAAAGCGUGGGUAGCAAACAGG
rnacentral:rRNA from 1 species